rnacentral:misc_RNA from 1 species
GUAGAAUCUUAUAUUUCACAUAGCAUAACAACUAGACGUGACACAACUGGAAAUACAAAGCCAAAGACGCCCCAAGCCAAGAUUACAACAACCCUCUUCCAAGUUCAUCAUCUCCUCUCCAAAAACUGUGGAAAAUGACAAUAGUAGAAGAGUGUCUAUUUUUUUUUGAAGCUGCCCCAGCAAAAGAAGAACUGAGAAUAUAUGGACAAGCCAUAUCUGCAAGACAAUGGCAUAGAAAACAAACAUAAAUAGAAGGGUUAUACUCCUGCCGUAACUUCCACAAAUAUGAGUUAUGCAGGAGCAACCUAUCUAUUGACCUGACCUAAUACAACAAACAUAGUUGGCUUAUAGCCCUGCCAAAAACUGGGUCAAAUUAAUAUCAGUUAAUGCAGGGACUUUCUAAUCACACGAUAAUAGACAUAGGUGCCGUGAUCCAAGUUAAAAACAAUGAAAUCACAGCUUCUGAGAUAUACUUGAAAAGUGAUGGAACAAGGAAUUUAUCCAUCUGAAUUGAAGGUGCUGAAUGGUGAGGUUGAAGCAGUAGAAGAAGAAAUUCCUCCAUCUGCACCAUGUCCUCUGUCUCUUUUCAGAGCUUCCCCUGCCUUGGUGACCCAAGAGCUUACAGUUUUGGUCAAGCUUUGAAAAAUCUGAGCUUUGAUCUGGCCUCUCUUAGGAGGAAAGUUUCUUUUCUUGUCCUUCUGGGAGGUGGUAGAAGUGGAAGAAUUAGUCGACGUCAUCUCAAACUGGAUGAUCUGAAAAAUAAAAAAGAAAAACAAAAAACAGAGUAUCAAACAAAAAAUAAUUUCCCUUUUAAAAGGGAGAGUGAAGAAUUAAAAAAGAAACAAGGGUUUGAACUUGGUUACUCUGUAAACAAGCAGAGAAGAAGCAGUCUCUCUGCUGAAUAACAAACAGAAAAGUAAUUAAGUAAAACAAAUACAAAAUAUUUUUUGUUCUUGUAUAAAAUGAGGGAUAAUUGAACAGAAUUUUGCAAUCUGGAAGAGAAAUGGAAGAGAAUAGACCCCCAAAGGGGUGGGAUCUUGGGGUUGGGAGUUGGAUGGAG